rnacentral:miRNA from 1 species
UAGUAUGUUGUAAGGUUUUCUC